AGUGAACGCUGGCGGUAGGCCUAACACAUGCAAGUCGAACGGCAGCACAGUAAGAGCUUGCUCUUACGGGUGGCGAGUGGCGGACGGGUGAGGAAUACAUCGGAAUCUACUUUUUCGUGGGGGAUAACGUAGGGAAACUUACGCUAAUACCGCAUACGACCUACGGGUGAAAGCAGGGGAUCUUCGGACCUUGCGCGAUUGAAUGAGCCGAUGUCGGAUUAGCUAGUUGGCGGGGUAAAGGCCCACCAAGGCGACGAUCCGUAGCUGGUCUGAGAGGAUGAUCAGCCAAACGGGAACUGAGACACGGUCCAGACUCCUACGGGAGGCAGCAGUGGGGAAUAUUGGACAAUGGGCGCAAGCCUGAUCCAGCCAUACCGCGUGGGUGAAGAAGGCCUUCGGGUUGUAAAGCCCUUUUGUUGGGAAAGAAAAGCAGCAGGUUAAUACCCCGCUGUUCUGACGGUACCCAAAGAAUAAGCACCGGCGAACUUCGU
rnacentral:rRNA from 1 species